CUCAACCUCCUACAACUGAUGAGCCUCACGAGAAUCUGAUGCAAGAAUGCAUGAGGACUCAGCUUCACUUCGGGUGGAAGAUGUGGAAAGGACACAGGCCUCCCAUGGAUAUCAACCGAAUGUGACAAGCUUAAGAAAGACUAGGCACCUCUCCUCAUGUUCAGGCCAGAUGGGGCAAGCCACUAGGAGGAGAAGGGUCCCAAAAGCCUGCAAAAGAGCCAGAGACACACCCUGCUCACACUGCUUGGAGUUCCACAAGAAGACCAAGCUACACAACUGUAACACAGGGUUUGCAUCUGGCUGCAUUCCAGAUGUUCAUGGAGAACCAGAUCAGCAGGACAAUGUGGCUCAGUGCAGACUACAUCCUCCAUGUUUAUGAUGGCCAUGUGAAUGAAUGCGUAGUCAUCCUCAUCUGCCAAUCAAGUAAAGGAAAAUGUAGAGGUGGACACCUGGAGAAGAGAGAACACUGGUGUU
rnacentral:lncRNA from 1 species